rnacentral:rRNA from 1 species
UACGUAGGUGGCAAGCGUUGUCCGGAUUUACUGGGCGUAAAGAGCGCGCAGGCGGUCGUUCAAGUCGCGUGUGAAAGCCCCCGGCUCAACUGGGGAGGGUCACGCGAUACUGAUCGACUGGAAGGCAGGAGAGGGUAGUGGAAUUCCCGGUGUAGUGGUGGAAUGCGCAGAUAUCAGGAGGAACACCGGUGGCGAAGGCGGGUCUCUGGGCAGUAACUGACGCUGAGGAGCGAAAGCGUGGGGAGCGAACAGG